rnacentral:rRNA from 1 species
AGUGAACGCUGGCGGUAGGCCUAACACAUGCAAGUCGAACGGCAGCACAGUAAGAGCUUGCUCUUACGGGUGGCGAGUGGCGGACGGGUGAGGAAUACAUCGGAAUCUACUUUAUCUUGGGGGAUAACGUAGGGAAACUUACGCUAAUACCGCAUACGACCUACGGGUGAAAGCAGGGGAUCUUCGGACCUUGCGCGAUUGAAUGAGCCGAUGUCGGAUUAGCUAGUUGGCGGGGUAAAGGCCCACCAAGGCGACGAUCCGUAGCUGGUCUGAGAGGAUGAUCAGCCACACUGGAACUGAGACACGGUCCAGACUCCUACGGGAGGCAGCAGUGGGGAAUAUUGGACAAUGGGCGCAGGCCUGAUCCAGCCAUACCGCGUGGGUGAAGAAGGCCUUCGGGUUGUAAAGCCCUUUUGUUGGGAAAGAAAAGCAGCAGGUUAAUACCCCGCUGUUCUGACGGUACCCAAAGAAUAAGCACCGGCUAACUUCGUG